AAGAUUCAAUUGAUUUAUUGAAGAGUUUCUAUAUUAAAUACAAACAUAAAAUGCAAAUAUUUAAACAAAACGGUGUUAAAAAAAUUCCAGUAGUAUAACACACUAACACCUGUGUGGUAUCCACUAAACCCACACUAAAUAAUAAAACAAACUAUUGUAUGUAAUUUUUAUAAAAUGCAUAUAAACAUGGUGUCAACAUCUUCCUUACAAUAGAUUAGAUCAUACAGAGCAAGAAAAAUACUUUAAAAGUAGUUUGAUUUGUGGAAGCCAUCGUUCUAAUGGUGUCCAUCUUCAACUCCUGGUACUUCCAUCUGCCAUAAGCCUAAGUCACAGAGGAACAUACAAGACCACAUUCCUCAUAACACAAUUGUGUCAAAUUUGAACUUUACCAUAAGACAUUUGUCUUCGAUCUCUUCUGAAACCCGAAUGCAAUCAAUACCACCAUUUCAUAAAAGGUGUAUAUUUCUAGAACAAAUCUGAAGUGACUGUCUUUAGGGAUGCUACAAAGAGGAAGCAAGCAAAACUGGGUAGUAUGUUAGUAAAAGGGACUCUCUAGGCAACAAGUUAUGCAUUUGACUGGGGAGGGGAUGCUUUGCAACAAUGCUCCCUUCCUGCCCACAAGGCAAGUUUUAGAUUGUUGCCAACAGUGGCAGUACAAAUAUACUCACAUUAAAGGACCACUAUAGUGCCAGGAAAACACUUGUUUUCCUGGCACUAUAGUGCCCUGAGGGUGCCCCCACCCGGCUCUGGAAGGGGGAAAGGGGUAAAAAAAAAAAAAAACUUACCUUUUUCCAGCACUGGGCGGGGGAGCUCUCCUCCUCCAUUGCAGCUGAAUGCACACACGCGGCAAGAGCUGCGCGCGUAUUCAGCCGUCACAUAGGAAAGCAUUAUUAAUGCUUUCCUAUGGACG